UACGUAGGUGGCAAGCGUUGUCCGGAUUUACUGGGCGUAAAGAGCGCGCAGGCGGUCGUUCAAGUCGCGUGUGAAAGCCCCCGGCUCAACUGGGGAGGGUCACGCGAUACUGAUCGACUCGAAGGCAGGAGAGGGUAGUGGAAUUCCCGGUGUAGUGGUGAUAUGCGUAGAUAUCGGGAGGAACACCAGUGGCGAAGGCGGCUCUCUGGGCCUUACCUGACGCUGAGACGCGAAAGCGUGGGGAGCGAACCGG
rnacentral:rRNA from 1 species